rnacentral:misc_RNA from 1 species
UCCCCAUUCAUGAUACAACACUUACUAUAUCCUUCAAAUGUCCAUAGCUUGGCCCUGUACCAAAUGCAACCCAUGGCAUGUCACAAGGGGUGCAACAUAGCCAAGUUAAAGCAAAAGAAAUUGCAGAUGGAAAAAAAAAAAAAAGGAAGAGGGACAAUUUUCUCUUAUUCUGAAAUCUGAGAAAAACAUGCGCGCACUUGUGUGUAGACUCUAGAGUUCUUCUAGUCAGAAUAUCCAACCACUAAUUGCAGCUCUUAAAACCACAAUCUCGAUAUUACCAGCAUUAUCAAUUUGAGUACCAGGAAUGGUAUAUCAGUGAUCUUGCAGAGCCUUUCUUGUUAAUGAUACACUCAGUUAUAUAGUCUAACUGCCAUUUUUUAAGAGGCACCACAAGCUGCACUUAUGCUACUUAAGGUUUCUUCGCGUUUGAUGUCGAACACCUUGACAAGGACAUC